rnacentral:rRNA from 1 species
UGAAUACGAGAUGCUACGGCGUCGAAGCAGUGUAUGUCAGACUUCCAAGAAAAGCUCGCAAUGUCAUAAAUAAAGAUGCCUGUACCAUAACCGACACAGGUGGGUAGGUAGAGUAUACUAAGGGGCGCGAGAUAACUCUCUCUAAGGAACUCGGCAAAAUAACUCCGUAACUUCGGGAGAAGGAGUGCCUUCUUUAAGAAGGUUGCAAUAACAAGAUCCAAGCAACUGUUUAUCAAAAACACAGGUCUCCGCUAAGUCGUAAGACGAUGUAUGGGGGCUGACGCCUGCCCAGUGCCAGAAGGUUAAAGAAGUUGGUUAGCUUUUGCGAAGCUGAUGACUGAAGCCCUGGUGAACGGCGGCCGUAACAAUAACGGUCCUAAGGUAGCGAAAUUCCUUGUCGGGUAAGUUCCGACCCGCACGAAAGGCGUAAUGAUUUGGAUACUGUCUCGGAGAGGGACUCGGUGAAAUAGACUUGUCUGUGAAGAUGCGGACUACCUGCACCAGGACAGAAAGACCCUAUGAAGCUUUACUGUAACUUGAAAUUGAAAUUGGACUUUAUUUGCGCAGUAUAGGUGGAAGGCGUUGAAAGUAAUCUUGCGGGAUUAGUGGAGCCAUCAGUGAGAUACCACUCCUAUAAUGUUAGAUUUCUAACUUUGGAUCAUGAUCUGGUCAAAGAACAGUUUCAGGCGGGCAGUUUGACUGGGGCGGUCGCCUCCCAAAUGGUAACGGAGGCGUACAAAGGUUUCCUCUGAACGGGUAGAAAUCGUAUCUAGAGUGUAAAGGCAUAAGGAAGCUUGACUGUGAGACCUACAAGUCGAGCAGGGACGAAAGUCGGUCUUAGUGAUCUGACGGUGCUGAGUGGAAAGGCCGUCACUCAACGGAUAAAAGUUACUCUAAGGAUAACAGGCUGAUCUCCCCCAAGAGUUCACAUCGACGGGGAGGUUUGGCACCUCGAUGUCGGCUCAUCGCAUCCUGGGGCGGUAGUACGUCCCAAGGGUUGGGCUGUUCGCCCAUGAAAGCGGUACGCGAGCUGGGUUCAGAACGUCGUGAGACAGUUCGGUCCAUAUCCGGUGUAGGCGUUAGAAUAUUGAGAGGAGCCUUCUUUAGUACGAGAGGACCGAGAAGGACAUACCUCUGGUGUACCAGUUAUCGUGCCAACGGUAAACGCUGGGUAGCUAUGUAUGGAGAGGAUAACCGCUGAAAGCAUCUAAGUGGGAAGCCCACCUCAAGAUGAGUAUUCUCA